rnacentral:rRNA from 1 species
AGAUGGAUUGGUGCCUUCGGGAACUGUGAGACAGGUGCUGCAUGGCUGUCGUCAGCUCGUGUUGUGAAAUGUUGGGUUAAGUCCCGCAACGAGCGCAACCCUUAUCCUUUGUUGCCAGCGGUUAUGCCGGGAACUCAAAGGAGACUGCCAGUGAUAAACUGNAGGAAGGUGGGGAUGACGUCAAGUCAUCAAUGGCCCUUACGACCAGGGCUACACACGUGCUACAAUGGCGCAUACAAAGAGAAGCGACCUCGCCGAGAGCAAGCAGGACCUCAUAAAGUGCGGUCGUAGUCCGGAUAUGGAGUCUGCAACUCGACUCCCAUGAAGUUCGGGAAUCGCUUCGUAAAUCGGUAGAUUCAUACAGCUACCCGGGUGAAUACCUUUCCCGGGCCUUGUGACACACC